CUGAAAUCCCUUUAGUUUCGGCACAUUGUUAUGGU
rnacentral:sRNA from 1 species